AUCGGAAUUACUGGGCGUAAAGCGUGCGUAGGCGGUUAAUUAAGUCAGAUGUGAAAGCCCCGGGCUUAACCUGGGAACGGCAUUUGAUACUGGUUAACUAGAGUUUAGUAGAGGGGAGUGGAAUUUCAGGUGUAGCGGUGAAAUGCGUAGAUAUCUGAAGGAACACCAGUGGCGAAGGCGACUCCCUGGACUAAAACUGACGCUGAGGUACGAAAGCGUGGGUAGCAAACAGGAUUAGAUACCCUGGUAGUCCACGCCGUAAACGAUGUCAACUAGCCGUUGGUCCUAUUUACAGGAUUAGUGGCGCAGCUAACGCAUUAAGUUGACCGCCUGGGGAGUACGGCCGCAAGGUUAAAACUCAAAUGAAUUGACGGGGGCCCGCACAAGCGGUGGAGCAUGUGGUUUAAUUCGAUGCAACGCGAAGAACCUUACCUACCCUUGACAUCCARAGAAUC
rnacentral:rRNA from 1 species